GAUGAAGUACGCAGCGAAAUGCGAUACUUGGUGUGAAUUGCAGAAUCCCGUGAACCAUCGAGUCUUUGAACGCAAGUUGCGCCCGAAGCCAUCAGGUUGAGGGCACGUCUGCCUGGGCGUCACAUAUCGUUGCCCAAUGCCUAUUGCAGUGCAAUAGGAAUUUCUAGGGCGAAUGAUGGCUUCCCGUGAGCGUUGUUGCCUCGCGGUUGGUUGAAAAUCGAGUCCUUGGUAGGGUGUGCCAUGGUAGAUGGUGGUCGAGUUAGAACGAUACCGAUCAUGUGCAUGCUCCCCAAAAUAUGGCCUCUAUGACCCACACGCGUCUUUUGACGCUCAUGACGAGACCUCAGGUCAGGCGGGGCUACCCGCUGAAUUUAAGCAUAUCAAUAAGCGGAGGA
rnacentral:misc_RNA from 1 species